GGUGUGUGCUACGAUCGAACAGGAGAAAAGAAAAAGGGGGUGUGAACCCUAAACCUCAAGAAAUCAUCAAAUUGAAAAGGGAAUCAGGGUUGAUUGUAUGCAUGAACCAAGGAUGAUGAUCCCUUAAGCAUUUCUAACAUCAACGUAGGAGCCAUGUCAACAUGGACACGAGCAUGGAAGGGCAAUGGGUCAACGGUAAAUACGGAAGCUAUGCAUGAACUCGGACGCACGAGGUAGCGUUAGUUAAUUGAGCAUGGUGAUGAUUGAAGUUUGAUAUGGUUUUGGUUGUAUGAAAUCGGUAAUUUUAGCUAAGUAGACCGAACGGGACAAUAUAAAGUUGUAAUGAUAUGACAGAUUGAUGUAAUGCUACGGUAUUGUAACCGGGUAAUGGGUAGAAUUGCACAUAAGUGCGCCAACCGAGAAUGGGGACUUAGGUUAAUGGUCAAAAGACUUAGCUUUUGACCUUAAAUAAAAGAAUGGUUUAACAAAAUACGAACAGGUCGAAUAAAUGUGCAUAAACUUCAUAAUGCUAAUGAAAUGCGUAAAGAUUAAGGACCCGGGUAAGGGCGUUUAGCCCAUAAUGUAAGGACAAGUCUUACGGACAACUAGAAAUAAUCGUGAGCAAUUUGAUUGAGGAAUGUCUGAGAUACGCAAGUUUUAAUAAUAAAAAUAUGAAUGGGUUGAAUAGUCGAAACGAGUAUGUAGAGCCGAAGGCUUUAAGUUAAGAUUUUUCCUUGUUUGGAUGUUAUAUUACAAGCUCAUAUGUUAGAAAAUCGAUUUACCAACGCAUAGGAAAAAGAAUCAUGUUAAUCGGAUUCGUAGAUCAAAAGUUAUGCAAAUUGUAAGUCGAAAAUACCCUUGGAAUUCAUAGCUGGGAAUUUACAGCAGCAAAUUGGAAGUUUCUGUCGAAAUAGAGCUGUCGCGCCCCGCGAGCGCCAGUCAGCUGGAAAAUUUUGGUUUUCUUGUUUGAUUUUGCAUCCGGACUCGAUGUUUUAAUGAUUUUCGGUGUCCCUUAACUUAUAUUAAAGCCGGUUUGAAUCACGAGUGAUGUUAUGAGCCUCCGGAUAAUGAAAGUAUGUAUUUUUCUUCGUGUUAGAGAAGAAAGAUUAUAAGUAAUCGAGACUAGAAAUGAGUGGGCAUGCAGUAUGGUAAGUAUAAAACUUAUAUCAUGGAAGUUGCGAUUAUGAUAAGAAAUGCGAGAUUAAGUGAAUAAAAGUAGUAAGCGAGGGCUCGCGUCUAUGUGUGUGUAUGUGAAUGUGUGCGUAUGUAUGUAGGUGUAUAUGUUGUAUGUAUGUAGGAAUUAGGAACGUAUACGUUUGUGGAUGCGAGAUGUUAUAAGUAUAUGAAGGAAUGGUUUGGACUGGUUUCAUUAUGUUCUAGCAUUAAUGUUUGCUAAUCGUGUGUUUGAGAUUGGAAUGAAAUGCAGGUACAUGAACACCGGGUUCAUGAAGUAUCGAAGUCGAAUUCGGAACAAGAAAAUACGAAAGGAUAGUUGAAUGAAUUAAAGUUCCUACUGUUAAAUUUUAUUCAAUAUUGGACUAUAUGAGAAUCAUGUCGUAUGAUAUUGUUAAUGACUAAUGGUUAUGAUGUAUGCGAUGUCCACAGGUAUUGCACGGAUUACCGCUACUACUACCGAAGAUAAGCAAGCGUUGAUCGAGUCACGGAGCAAGGGUUGUACGGAAAUAUGUAUUGUCUUGAAGCGUUAAUUUAAUGUGGUUAUUGUAAAUCCCUUUUGUAAAUGUUUAUCAUUUGUAUUUGAGCCUUCAAGUAAGUAAUGUGUCUAAAUAAGAAAGAAAUUUUUGGGCUCGU
rnacentral:lncRNA from 1 species